CAUGAAGAACGUAGCGAAAUGCGAUAAGUAAUGUGAAUUGCAGAAUUCAGUGAAUCAUCGAAUCUUUGAACGCACAUUGCGCCCCUUGGUAUUCCGAGGGGCAUGCCUGUUCGAGCGUCAUUAUAACCCCUCAAGCUCAGCUUGGUGUUGGGGCCUGCUGCACUGGCAGCCCUUAAAAUCAGUGGCGGCGCCAUCUGGCUCUAAGCGUAGUAAUUCUUCUCGCUAUGGAGUCCUGGUGGAUGCUUGCCAUCAACCCCCAAUUUUUCUAUGGUUGACCUCGGAUCAGGUAGGGAUACCCGCUGAACUUAAGCAUAUCAUAAGCGGAGGA
rnacentral:misc_RNA from 1 species